AAGUGACCCGGAUUGGCGGAAGGUUGCUGAAGGUGUGUCUGAACGUGGGACUGGCAGCAUGGUGCAUUGCAGCGGAGACAAACUUUCUGCGCCGGGAGCGGUGGCCCUCGCCGACAGAGGAUACAUUGUAAUAUUGCAGCAGGCUUUGACGAAGAGAGGAAUGCAGGCACUGAACUGCGAGGCUCAAUACAGCUCGCAUUAACACCUCCCUCCCCGGGUCACGUGAUAUGUCCUGAAUUGAUACACUAAACCAGGAGGAGUUGAAGAGGCCGAAGGGGCGGGGUCUAAAAUUAAAAGGGCAAUGUUUUCUUCUGGCAAAAUCUCAUGGAUUUCUCCGGGAAUGAGCAAGGCAUUUAAAAUGAAUUCAUGGUAAUUUUCUUUUCCCCCUUUGUUCUUACCAAAACAGAGAAUUUCUCCACUGUCCUAGUUACUAUUGGGAUGGUCAUUAGCAAAAAUAUUUAUUUCAGAAACUGACGUGAAUAAAAAAUAAUUACAAUGUGGUAACUAGUUUUUAAUGUAUGUUUCAGUGUUUCAAAAGAUUACCAGUCUCAAUGUGUGGGGUUUAUGGUAGAUUAGUUGAUAGAAAACUUUCAGAGGGGAUUACUAUUACCACAGUUUGUAAUAUUGUCUCAAGUGCUGUUCAAAUAAUUAUUUCCAUUAAAGCUGCAUAGUAAAAAUUAA